GCUCUGGAGUCAGAGGUCAUGGGUUCAAACUGGAACAAUACAGAGAAGAUCAGCAUGGCCCCUGUGCAAGGAUGACAAGCAAAUUCGUGAAGCGUUCCAUACUUUU